UACGGAGGGGGCUAGCGUUGUUCGGAAUUACUGGGCGUAAAGCGCACGUAGGCGGCUUUGUAAGUUAGAGGUGAAAGCCCGGGGCUCAACCCCGGAAUUGCCUUUAAGACUGCAUCGCUAGAAUUGUGGAGAGGUAAGUGGAAUUCCGAGUGUAGAGGUGAAAUUCGUAGAUAUUCGGAAGAACACCAGUGGCGAAGGGCGGCUCACUGGCCCGGUACUGACGCUGAGG
rnacentral:rRNA from 1 species